CCUACGGGUGACAGCAGUGAGGAAUAUUGGUCAAUGGGCGCGAGCCUGAACCAGCCAAGUAGCGUGAAGGAUGACUGUCCUACGGGUUGUAAACUUCUUUUAUAAAGGAAUAAAGUGCGGCACGUGUGCCUUUGUGCAUGUACCUUACGAAUAAGCAUCGGCUAACUCCGUGCCAGCAGCCGCGGUAAUACGGAGGAUCCGAGCGUUAUCCGGAUUUAUUGGGUGUAAAGGGAGCGUAGAUGGGUUGUUAAGUCAGUGGUGAAAGUUUGCGGCUCAACCGUAGAAUUGCAGUUGAUACUGGCAGCCUUGAGUGCAGUUGAGGUAGGCGGAAUUCGUGGUGUAGCGGUGAAAUGCUUAGAUAUCACGAAGAACUCCGAUUGCGAAGGCAGCUUACUAAAGUGCAACUGACGUUCAUGCUCGAAAGUGUGGGUAUCGAACAGGAUUAGAUACCCCAGUAGUC
rnacentral:rRNA from 1 species